rnacentral:tRNA from 1 species
GCCUUCAUGGUGCAAUGGUAGCACACCGGGCGUGUAUUCGAGAGGUCCAGGUUCGAGUCCUGGCGAGAGCA